rnacentral:rRNA from 2 species
UUGAUAGGUUGGAGGUGUAAGUACAGUAAUGUAUUCAGCUGACCAAUACUAAUAGGUCGAGGGCUUGAUCAAAU